rnacentral:rRNA from 1 species
UUUGGAAGGUUAAAAAUCGUAACAAGGUCUCCGUUGGUGAACCAGCGGAGGGAUCAUUACCGAGUUUACAACUCCCAAACCCCUGUGAACAUACCAAUUGUUGCCUCGGCGGAUCAGCCCGCUCCCGGUAAAACGGGACGGCCCGCCAGAGGACCCCUAAACUCUGUUUCUAUAUGUAACUUCUGAGUAAAACCAUAAAUAAAUCAAAACUUUCAACAACGGAUCUCUUGGUUCUGGCAUCGAUGAAGAACGCAGCAAAAUGCGAUAAGUAAUGUGAAUUGCAGAAUUCAGUGAAUCAUCGAAUCUUUGAACGCACAUUGCGCCCGCCAGUAUUCUGGCGGGCAUGCCUGUUCGAGCGUCAUUUCAACCCUCAAGCCCAGCUUGGUGUUGGGACUCGCGAGUCAAAUCGCGUUCCCCAAAUUGAUUGGCGGUCACGUCGAGCUUCCAUAGCGUAGUAGUAAAACCCUCGUUACUGGUAAUCGUCGCGGCCACGCCGUUAAACCCCAACUUCUGAAUGUUGACCUCGGAUCAGGUAGGAAUACCCGCUGAACUUAAGCAUA